UGCUGCCGGCUUCUCGCUACCUCGCCAACACCAUUCAGUGUAUCCUUGAUCUUUCAGGUAAGUCCAGUGGCCUGAAUACCUUUGGUUUUAUGUGGUGCAAUGGUGGAUCCAAACAAAGGAGUUGCGAUGUAUGAAUCAGAUGACAUAAUCAAGUAUCUAGUUGGAAAAUAUGGUAUGUUCAGUCAUAUUUACUUACUCCCAAAUGGCCUAUUUCAAUUUUGGUUGUUUUCCAUUGAUAAUCAGUAUGUUGCACAUUAACAAGAGGGGCAUAUAUUACUCGUGUACAACACCAUUUUAUAGCAUCUAUUUUGUUCAAGUACAAACCUUUUUUUUUUUUUUUUUUUAAUUUGUAGAAGAGUAUAUGUUAUAGUGCAAAUGCAUGCAUAUGGACGCAUUAAAUACCUAUGUGGCCUGCAUUUGGAGGCAGA